CCUACGGGUGGCAGCAGUAGGGAAUCUUCGGCAAUGGGGGGAACCCUGACCGAGCAACGCCGCGUGAGUGAAGAAGGUUUUCGGAUCGUAAAGCUCUGUUGUAAGAGAAGAACGAGUGUGAGAGUGGAAAGUUCACACUGUGACGGUAUCUUACCAGAAAGGGACGGCUAACUACGUGCCAGCAGCCGCGGUAAUACGUAGGUCCCGAGCGUUGUCCGGAUUUAUUGGGCGUAAAGCGAGCGCAGGCGGUUAGAUAAGUCUGAAGUUAAAGGCUGUGGCUUAACCAUAGUACGCUUUGGAAACUGUUUAACUUGAGUGCAAGAGGGGAGAGUGGAAUUCCAUGUGUAGCGGUGAAAUGCGUAGAUAUAUGGAGGAACACCGGUGGCGAAAGCGGCUCUCUGGCUUGUAACUGACGCUGAGGCUCGAAAGCGUGGGGAGCAAACAGGAUUAGAUACCCGAGUAGUC
rnacentral:rRNA from 1 species